UAGGGAAUCUUCGGCAAUGGGGGCAACCCUGACCGAGCAACGCCGCGUGAGUGAAGAAGGUUUUCGGAUCGUAAAGCUCUGUUGUAAGUCAAGAACGGGUGUGAGAGUGGAAAGUUCAUACUGUGACGGUAGCUUACCAGAAAGGGACGGCUAACUACGUGCCAGCAGCCGCGGUAAUACGUAGGUCCCGAGCGUUGUCCGGAUUUAUUGGGCGUAAAGCGAGCGCAGGCGGUUUGAUAAGUCUGAAGUUAAAGGCUGUGGCUCAACCAUAGUUCGCUUUGGAAACUGUCAAACUUGAGUGCAGAAGGGGAGAGUGGAGUUCCAUGUGUAGCGGUGAAAUGCGUAGAUAUAUGGAGGAACACCGGUGGCGAAAGCGGCUCUCUGGUCUGUAACUGACGCUGAGGCUCGAAAGCGUGGGGAGCGAACAGGAUUAGAUACCCUGGUAGUCCACGCCGUAAACGAUGAGUGCUAGGUGUUGGAUCCUUUCCGGGAUUCAGUGCCGCAGCUAACGCAUUAAGCACUCCGCCUGGGGAGUACGACCGCAAGGUUGAAACUCUAAAGUGAAUUGAC
rnacentral:rRNA from 1 species